rnacentral:rRNA from 1 species
UUCUUGGUCCUUUUUUGAGGAGUAAAAGUCGUAACAAGGUCUCCGUUGGUGAACCAGCGGAGGGAUCAUUACAGAGUUUCUAAACUCCCAAACCCAUGUGAACUUACCUCUUGUUGCCUCGGCAGGGCCUACUGGGGCCGUUCGCGGCCCCCGGUGGUGGCCUGCCGGUGGACCACUAAACUCUUGUUAUUGUUGUGGCACUCUGAGUUGUAUCAAACUAAAUAAGUUAAAACUUUCAACAACGGAUCUCUUGGUUCUGGCAUCGAUGAAGAACGCAGCGAAAUGCGAUAAGUAAUGUGAAUUGCAGAAUUCAGUGAAUCAUCGAAUCUUUGAACGCACAUUGCGCCUAUUAGUAUUCUAGUAGGCAUGCCUGUUCGAGCGUCAUUUCAACCCUCAAGCCCUGAUUGCUUGGUGUUGGGAGCUUGCUGUGAAACGCAACUCCUCAAAGCUAGCUGGCAGAGUCGGGAUGCACUCUAAGCGUAGUAAACUUGAUAGUCUCGCUUCUGCAGUUGUCCCGGCCGUCUUGCCAUAAAAGCCCAAACUUUUUUGUUUUCUAUGGCUGACCUCGGAUCAGGUAGGAAUACCCGCUGAACUUAGCAUUUUAAAGGGGGGGGGAGAAA